CUUUAGAGAUCUUUUCUAAAUAGUUAAAAUUUUAUGAAGAAUAUAGACAAAAUUUGAGUAUCGUUCGUUAGCGAAUUUUCAUGGUUAUUUCAAUUUUAAAUUGAAAAAAAGUUAUAUUUCUAAGCCGAUUUUCGAAUAUCUCUCCAUUCCAAACGAAAGAGCAUACUUUUUUCUAUAUAAUUGCAUAUUCUUUAGAGAUUUUUUCUAAAUAUUUAAAAUUUUAUGAGGAAAAUAGACAAAAUUUUAGUAUCGUUCGUUAGCGAAUUUUCACGGUUUUUUCAAUACUAAAUUGAAAAAAAGUGAUACUUCUAAGCCGAAUUUCGAACAUCGGUCAAUUCCAAACGAAAGAGCAUACUUUUUUCUAUAUAAU